rnacentral:rRNA from 1 species
GAUGAACGCUAGCGGCAGGCUUAAUACAUGCAAGUCGUGGGGCAGCAUGAGUGUAGCAAUACAUUUGAUGGCGACCGGCAAACGGGUGCGGAACACGUACAGAACCCUCCUUCAAGCGGGGCAUAGCCCAGAGAAAUUUGGAUUAAUACCCCAUAAUAUAAUGAAGAGGCAUCUCUUUGUUAUUAAAGAUUUAUCACUUGAAGAUGGCUGUGCGGCUGAUUAGGUAGUUGGCGGGGUAACGGCCCACCAAGCCUGCGAUCAGUAACUGGUGUGAGAGCACGACCAGUCACACGGGCACUGAAACAAGGGCCCGACUCCUACGGGAGGCAGCAGUAAGGAAUAUUGGUCAAUGGACGCAAGUCUGAACCAGCCAUGCCGCGUGGAGGAUGAAGGUCCUCUGGAUUGUAAACUUCUUUUAUAUGGGACGAAAAAAGGCUUUUCUAAGUCGUCUGACGGUACCAUAUGAAUAAGCACCGGCUAACUCCGUGCCAGCCGCCGCCGUAAUAC